rnacentral:rRNA from 1 species
UAGAGUUUGAUCAUGGCUCAGAUUGAACGCUGGCGGCAUGCCUUACACAUGCAAGUCGAACGGCAGCACGGGAGCUUGCUCCUGGUGGCGAGUGGCGAACGGGUGAGUAAUACAUCGGAACGUACCCUGAAGUGGGGGAUAACGUAGCGAAAGUUACGCUAAUACCGCAUAUUCUGUGAGCAGGAAAGAGGGGGAUCGCAAGACCUCUUGCUUUAGGAGCGGCCGAUGUCGGAUUAGCUAGUUGGUGAGGUAAAGGCUCACCAAGGCGACGAUCCGUAGCGGGUCUGAGAGGAUGAUCCGCCACACUGGGACUGAGACACGGCCCAGACUCCUACGGGAGGCAGCAGUGGGGAAUUUUGGACAAUGGGCGCAAGCCUGAUCCAGCCAUGCCGCGUGAGUGAAGAAGGCCUUCGGGUUGUAAAGCUCUUUCGGUGGGGAAGAAAUUGCUUCGAUGAAUACCUGGAGUAGAUGACGGUACCCGCAUAAGAAGCACCAACGGACUACGUGCCAGCAGCCGCGGUAAUA